CCAAAUGUUCCUUUUAUGGAAAAGCUGCGUUUAGACACUGGAGUGGCUUCCAAGUUCACCGUGGCCAUAAGUUAAGGACAUUUUUCUCUUAAUUGUAUCAGAAUGAUAAAAUCGCCUUGUUUUUACUAAAAGAUGAGCAAUGUGAAAUGAGAAUAUCAUCAAAGAAAGAGCCUGGUGCUGCUUUGGGCCAGAACCAAACAUUUCAUAGGUGGAUGAUUAGAUGCUCAAGAAUUGAGAAUUUGCCCCGUGGGGAAAUUGAACAACAGAGGAGCAAGAAAUCUGAGGAUAUUGAAAUGAAAAUAGAGGAAGUGAUGGUAUCUUAAACGUAAAGGGCAGGAAAACUUUCAGAAAGACGCUAACAAUGGUCAACUUUAUUGAGAUUUCAGAUGCCUUUCUGAAAAUAUAUAAAUAUAUAUAAAAUGGUAUCUAUGAAUAAUACAUAUACAUUAAUUUUUUAAGAGGCAAUUACCCUAUCGAUCUUCUUGGCUGAGUUCUUGAUGAAUGACAUGUGGGAGAUACAAGAUAAAAUUUAUCAAAUAAAUAAAUGUUUAAAUACUUUUACAAUUAGCAUGUCAUUUAGGGAACUAGACAAUAUUAAAGUAUUUGCUUUUUCUUCUUUUUAAAUUGGAGUUGAAGCUGAGGCACUAGGUCAAGUCAUUAGGUAGCACAGAGAAAAGUAAAAGUUCUAU